AUGUACUGACCCGUAGGUACUGACCCAUAUGUACUGACCCGUAGGUACUGACCCAUAUGUACUGACCCGUAGGUACUGACCCGUAGGUACUGACCCGUAUGGUACUGACCCGUAGGUACUGACCCGUAGGUACUGACCCGUAUGUACUGAC